AUGAACGCUGGCGGCGUGCCUAAUACCUGCAAGUCGAGCGAACAGACGAGGAGCUUGCUCCUCUGACGUUAGCGGCGGACGGGUGAGUAACCCGUGGAUAACCUACCUAUAAGACUGGGAUAACUUCGGGAAACCGGAGCUAAUACCGGAUAAUAUAUUGAACCGCAUGGUUCAAUAGUGAAAGACGGUUUUGCUGUCACUUAUAGAUGGAUCCGCGCCGCAUUAGCUAGUUGGUAAGGUAACGGCUUACCAAGGCAACGAUGCGUAGCCGACCUGAGAGGGUGAUCGGCCACACUGGAACUGAGACACGGUCCAGACUCCUACGGGAGGCAGCAGUAGGGAAUCUUCCGCAAUGGGCGAAAGCCUGACGGAGCAACGCCGCGUGAGUGAUGAAGGUCUUCGGAUCGUAAAACUCUGUUAUUAGGGAAGAACAAAUGUGUAAGUAACUAUGCACGUCUUGACGGUACCUAAUCAGAAAGCCACGGCUAACUACGUG
rnacentral:rRNA from 1 species